rnacentral:rRNA from 1 species
GACGAACGCUGGCGGCGUUCUUAACACAUGCAAUUCGAACGCUGAAGCUUGGUUCUUGCACUGGGUGGAUGAGUGGCGAACGGGUGAGUAAUACGUGAGUAACCUGCCCUUUACUCUUGGAUAAGCCUGGGAAACUGGGUCUAAUACUGGAUACGACAUGUCACCGCAUGGUGGCGUGUGGAAAGGGUUUUACUGGUUUUGGAUGGGCUCACGGCCUAUCAGCUUGUUGGUGGGGUAAUGGCUCACCAAGGCGACGACGGGUAGCCGGCCUGAGAGGGUGACCGGCCAAACUGGGACUGAGACACGGCCCAGACUCCUACGGGAGGCAGCAGUGGGGAAUAUUGAACAAUGGGCGAAAGCCUGAUGCAGCGACGAAGCGUGAGGGAUGACGGCCUUCGGGUUGUAAACCUCUUUCAGAACGGAAGAAGCGAAAGUGACGGUACGUGCAGAAGAAGCGCCGGCUAACUACGUG